UACGUAGGGUGCAAGCGUUAAUCGGAAUUACUGGGCGUAAAGCGUGCGUAGACGGUUAUUUAAGUCGGAUGUGAAAUCCCCAGGCUUAACCUGGGAAUUGCAUCCGAUACUGGAUGGCUUGAAUCCGGGAGAGGGAUGCGGAAUUCCAGGUGUAGCGGUGAAAUGCGUAGAUAUCUGGAGGAACACCGGUGGCGAAGGCGGCAUCCUGGACCGGCAUUGACGCUGAGGAGCGAAAGCCAGGGGAGCAAACGGG
rnacentral:rRNA from 1 species